UACAGAGGUCUCAAGCGUUGUUCGGAUUCAUUGGGCGUAAAGGUGUGUAGGUGGCGCCGUAAGUCGGGUGUGAAAUCUCGGGGCUUAACUCCGAAACUGCAUUCGAUACUGCGGUGCUUGAGGACUGGAGAGGAGACUGGAAUUCAUGGUGUAGCAGUGAAAUGCGUAGAGAUCAUGAGGAAGACCAGUGGCGAAGGCGGGGUCUCUGGACAGUUCCUGACACUGAGACACGAAGGCCAGGGGAGCAAACGGG
rnacentral:rRNA from 1 species